AAAAAGGGGGAACAGCCUGAUCCAGCCAUGCCGCGUGAUUGAUGAAGGCCUUAGGGUUGUAAAGAUCUUUCAGAUGGGAAGAUAAUGACGGUACCAUCAGAAGAAGCUCCGGCUAACUCCGUGCCAGCAGCCGCGGUAAUACGGAGGGAGCUAGCGUUGUUCGGAAUUACUGGGCGUAAAGCGUACGUAGGCGGACUAUUAAGUCAGAGGUGAAAUCCCAGGGCUCAACCCUGGAACUGCCUUUGAUACUGGUAGUCUAGAGGUCGAGAGAGGUGAGUGGAAUUCCGAGUGUAGAGGUGAAAUUCGUAGAUAUUCGGAGGAACACCAGUGGCGAAGGCGGCUCACUGGCUCGAUACUGACGCUGAGGUACGAAAGUGUGGGUAGCAAACAGGAUUAGAUACCCUGGUAGUCCACACCGUAAACGAUGAAUGCUAGUCGUCAGGGGACUUGUCCUUUGGUGACGCAGCUAA
rnacentral:rRNA from 1 species